rfam:Mesocricetus auratus contig197545, whole genome shotgun sequence.
GGAUUGAUGAUGACAACAAAUCUCUGUUGAUGUUGAUGGACUCAUGACUAUGCCAAUUGGAGGUCC